rnacentral:tRNA from 1 species
AGGAUAAUAGUUAACUAUAACAUUUAAUUUGCAUUUAAAAAGUAUUGAAUUAAUCAAUUUAUCUCAAAUA